rnacentral:rRNA from 1 species
UACGUAGGGGGCUAGCGUUGUCCGGAUUUAUUGGGCGUAAAGAGCGUGUAGGCGGCCAGGUAGGUCUGCUGUGAAAACUCGAGGCUCAACCUCGAGACGUCGGCGGAAACCAUCUGGCUAGAGUCCGGAAGAGGAGAGUGGAAUUCCUGGUGUAGCGGUGAAAUUCGUAGAUAUUCGCAAGAACACCAGUGGCGAAGGCGGCUGACUGGUCCGGUUCUGACGCUGAGGCGCGAAAGCGUGGGGAGCAAACAGG